rnacentral:rRNA from 1 species
CCUACGGGUGGCAGCAGUGAGGAAUAUUGGUCAAUGGACGAGAGUCUGAACCAGCCAAGUAGCGUGAAGGAUGACUGCCCUAUGGGUUGUAAACUUCUUUUAUAGGGGAAUAAAAUGUUCCACGUGUGGGAUUUUGUAUGUACCAUAUGAAUAAGGAUCGGCUAACUCCGUGCCAGCAGCCGCGGUAAUACGGAGGAUCCGAGCGUUAUCCGGAUUUAUUGGGGUUAAAGGGAGCGUAGGUGGAUUGUUAAGUCAGUUGUGAAAGUUUGCGGCUCAACCGUAAAAUUGCAGUUGAAACUGGCAGUCUUGCGUACAGUAGCGGUGGGCGGAAUUCGUGGUGUAGCGGUGACCUGCUUAGCUCUCACGCAGAACUCCGAUUGCGUAGGCAGUUCACUGGACUGCACCUGACACUGAGGCUCGAACGUGUGGGUAUCAAACAGGAUUCGAUCCCCCUGUAGUC